rnacentral:lncRNA from 1 species
CGGAGAGUCGCCUGCUCCGCUCGGUUUAGGCACCCGCGCUCCGCACGCGGAGCUGGGGAGCUGGGAAGUAGGUAUUGUUCUGCUUCUCAAUGACAAAUGGCUGGCUUGGAAGCGUAACUCUCCCCGCCCUUUGGAUCUCUGCUCCGUUCUCUUUUGGCACUUUGGGAUCCGAGGUAACACCAUGCUGGGAUGAGCGGCCCGGGAGGGACAGAUCGCCUGAGCCAGCCGGGUCUCCCUGCGUCUUGGGCAUGACUGAGCUGCUGCAGUGGGCCAGACAUCACUGGCGUCGGCUGAGCCAUGGGAGAGCCCAGGGUGAAGAUGAGAGGCCAUACAACUACGCCUCCCUGCUGGCCUGUGGGGGCAAGUCCUCGAGGACCCCCAGACCUGCAGGAAAGCACCGCGUCGUUAUUCCCCACCUUCAGUGCUUCAAAGAUGAGUACGAAAGGUUUUCUGGAACCUACGUGAAUAACCGGAUACGGACGACCAAGUACACACUCCUGAACUUUGUGCCAAGAAACUUAUUUGAACAGUUUCACAGGUACUGUGGUCCUUUUUAAUGUUCUUCAUUCUUCUACUUGAUACUCCCACCAAAUCCUCACUUUCUUUUUUUUUUUUUUUUUUAAGAUUUUUUAUUUAUUUUAUAUAUGUGAGUACACUGUAACUGUCUUCAGACACAUCAGAAGAGGGCAUCAGACCCCAUUACAGAUGGCUGUGAGCCACCAUGUGGUUGUUGAGAAUUGAAUUCAGGACCUCUGGAAGAGCAGUCAGUGCUCCUAACCUCUGAGCCAUCUCUCUAGCCCAAAUCCUCACUUUUUUCUUAUGCUAUCUAAGCUUAAUGCAUAUAAGCAUCCAAGGCAGGUGAGAUUCAAGUCCAGGCUGGAGAGAGGGUGCCUUAGGGUCACACAGUUCUGUACAGCUGAAAGGACGUCUUCUGUUUGUGAAAGAUGCUGUUAUCUGUAUCGUUCUCACAUAGGAACCCCAUCUGUGGCUCAGCCAAUGCCACACCUGUAAUAAGCAGCAGAGCGGAUGCUGUGACCCUGGGCCUCCUCCCUUGUACUUUGGUGUCCUUUCUACUAAACCAUGUUGUAUUUUAAUUGCAGAUUUUUCUUAUUUGAUAACAAGAGAAAGAACAGGACUCUUAAGCAAAUGUAAUAGGAUGUAAUUAUGUAAAGCAGUGGUGUAAUUCAGUUUAGCAGGCAUUUCCUGGAGCUUACUUGAGAUCUCAGACAGUGAAGAAAACUCGGGUAUAACUUGCUACUCUCCUCACGGAUUCUGUAGGUUAUCCGAUAUGUGUAUAAACAAUGGGAGGGCACACAGUGGGCUGACAGUUCCUAUAAAGUGCUAUCCGUCAGGGCGGAAGCCUCCAAGAGAAAUCAUACCAUGAGAUGGAACUACAGAAGAUGUUCAUGCUAAUUAUGGAGGGUGGGAUCACGUCUGCCCAGGAAUGGGCAAAGUAUAUUUCAUGUGGAAGAAGGCAUGGUAGUGAGAACACAAAGACAUCAGCAUAGAAGACUCACGUGAAGCCUGGGAGGUUUCCUCUCCAUGACACCUAGUGUCUGUGUUGUGGAACCAUGGGAAAUACCGUUGGACAGAUGGGUCUAACCCACCUGAGGAGUACUGCUGUCAGGAUAGAGACCUGAGAUGCAAUACCGCAGGUGUGGUUCUAUGGAGGAGAAAAACACACUUGGAGGCAUUGAGGUGGGACUUAGAGACAAACUGGAGACAAAGUGAGCCUUUCGGAAGCUGGUGAGUUGUUAUGGAGACCCAUACUUAUGACAGUGUGGGAGUGAAGGGAAGGACAGGCAAGUACAGAUGCUACACACUGCUUUGGAGAGGUAAGUGGAAGAGAAGAACAUUAGAUGAGCACGGUGAUCGUGAUGAUUAUAAAACUUUCCAGGAAAAGGGAAUCGAGGGCCAAAACCCAGCUGGGCUGCACAGUUCCUUGCUUUGGAAAUGCUGAGCUGCUGUGUGAGUCCAGGGAUUCUCAUCUCUACUUCAUAGGUUCUGUGUACACUUCCUGAAUGGUGGCUCUUUUUAAAGUGCUGGUGUGGGUUUGUGAGAUUAACAACCUUAAGGGCUACAGGUGUUUACUUCACUUAAUUCCAACACAUACAUUGCUCUCUUGAGCUGUGGACCUGGAUGUGAUCUAUGUAGAAAUAAUCGGAGCCACCGCUCUAAUAAAAACAGUUAA